rnacentral:rRNA from 1 species
CAGCAGCCGCGGUAAUACAGAGGGUGCAAGCGUUAAUCGGAAUUACUGGGCGUAAAGCGCGCGUAGGUGGUUUGUUAAGUUGAAUGUGAAAUCCCCGGGCUCAACCUGGGAACUGCAUCCAAAACUGGCAAGCUAGAGUAGGGCAGAGGGUGGUGGAAUUUCCUGUGUAGCGGUGAAAUGCGUAGAUAUAGGAAGGAACACCAGUGGCGAAGGCGACCACCUGGGCUCAUACUGACACUGAGGUGCGAAAGCGUGGGGAGCAAACAGGAUUAGAUACCCCUGUAGUCCCUGUCUCUUAUAC